UCUGCACUAGCCCUGCUAACACACUCGCUUUCUACCAACUCGUAUUUCUCCUGACACUGGAAUUCUCUUAUCAAGGGCUCUCGGAUAUACUGGUCUUCCUACACCAGCUGCAAGAGCUUGCUGUGAAGGAGAAAGGCCUUGAGGCACAUCACAGAGUGGUGCUACAUGCUACAGUGGCAGGUGUGCUGCAUCUAGCGUCCAAGAUCAGUCGAAAUGAGGUACUCAAGACGACGCACAUUGAUGGAGUGAUUGCUAAGAGGAGGGAGACAGCUCCAAAGGCUAUGGUGGGACAUUCUUCUAGAGGGAGUGGUAGUAAGAAGAAGUGCAGUCAUCUAGACAUGUAGGAGAAGCUGCUCAAGAGAUCUCAAAUCAUGGACCCGGGUGUCAUGGCUGAGCUGGAGUGAGAAUUGGAACUGGCCAACAGCAAGGCAGAUUUUGUGUGUGUUAUGUCACUGUGAUCGACCCACCCCAUGCUGGAGGUUGAUGUGAGUUGAGACUGAGAAUGAUGCCCUGUCAGUAAUGAACCAGAACACUCACUCAUACCUUCAAGAAGUUUAGGUAAGAAAUAAUAUUAUGUUUACCAAAGUUGUGGUUAAAGAGUUUAUAAUACUGUAGGACUGGAAAUAUUUCGUAUUUUAAAUAUUCAUACAGCCACGUUGAGCCUAUUGCUGUAGAAUAGUUUUGUAGUUUUAUUUUUCGUACAGUGUAUGAUGCUCUACAGUACGAAUAUACGAACAUUUUCACCAUACAACCUCUACUUAUACGGUAUGUCACAAAUACUCACUAUUGUCAGGGUUUCAAGCAGGAUUUUUAGCUAAGGGGGGAAAUGAC